rnacentral:rRNA from 1 species
GGAUGAACGUUGGCGGCGUGCCUAAUACAUGCAAGUCGAACGAAGACUGUAGUAAUACUGUCUUAGUGGCGAACGGGUGAGUAACGCGUGGGUGACCUGCCCCGAAGUGUGGGAUAACAGUCCGAAAGGAUUGCUAAUACUGCAUAAUAUCCAAGAGAUUAGAUGCUUUUGGAUUAAAGGAGUAAUUCGCUUCGGGAGGGGCCCGCGUCCCAUCAGCUAGUUGGUAAGGUAAUGGCUUACCAAGGCGAUGACGGGUAGGGGACCUGAGAGGGUGGCCCCCCACAAUGGAACUGAAACACGGUCCAUACACCUACGGGUGGCAGCAGUAGGGAAUAUUAGUAAUGGGCGAAAGCCUGAACUAGCAACGCCGCGUGUGCGAAGAAGGCCUUCGGGUCGUAAAGCACUUUUUGAGAGGAUGAGGAAGGACGGUACUCUCAGAAUAAGUCUCGGCUAACUACGUGCCAGCAGCCGCGGUAACACGUAGGAGGCAAACGUUAUCCGGAUUUACUGGGCGUAAAGCGCGUGUAGGUGGUUUGGUAAGUAGGGCGUGAAAGCUCCUGGCUCAACUGGGAGAGGACGUUCUAAACUGCCAAGCUUGAGGAUGGUAGAGGGAGGUGGAAUUCCGGGUGUAGCGGUGGAAUGCGCAGAUAUCCGGAGGAACACCAGUGGCGAAGGCGGCUACCUGGUCCGAUACUGACACUGAGGCGCGAAAGUGCGGGGAGCAAACAGGAUUAGAUACCCUGGUAGUCCGCACAGUAAACGUUGGACGCUAGGUGUUGGUCUUUAUGAGAUCAGCGCCGCAGCUAACGCAUUAAGUGUCCCGCCUGGGGAGUACGACCGCAAGGUUGAAACUCAAAGGAAUUGACGGGGGCCCGCACAAGCGGUGGAGCAUGUGGUUUAAUUCGAUGCAACGCGAAAAACCUUACCUGGGCUUGAACUGUGGUCGCAAACUCAUGAAAGUGAGUCCUCCUUCGGGACGGCCAUAGAGGUGCUGCAUGGCUGUCGUCAGCUCGUGCCGUGAGGUGUUGGGUUAAGUCCCGCAACGAGCGCAACCCUUGCCCUUAGUUGCCAACAGGUUAUGCUGGGAACUCUAAGGGGACUGCCCCAGACAAUGGGGAGGAAGGUGGGGACGACGUCAAGUCAUCAUGGCCCUUACGUCCAGGGCUACACACGUGCUACAAUGGCCGGUACAACGGGCAGCCACAUGGUAACAUGGAGCUAAUCCUAAAAGUCGGUCUCAGUUCGGAUCGAGGUCUGCAACCCGACCUCGUGAAGCUGGAUUCGCUAGUAAUCGCGCAUCAGCCAUGGCGCGGUGAAUACGUUCCCGGGCCU